rnacentral:rRNA from 1 species
CUACACAUGCAGUCGAGCGGUAGAGAGAAGCUUGUUUUCUCUUGAGAGCGGCGGACGGGAGAGUAAUGCCUAGGAAUCUGCCUGGUAGUGGGGGAUAACGUUCGGAAACGGACGCUAAUACCGCAUACGUCCUACGGGAGAAAGCAGGGGACCUUCGGGCCUUGCGCUAUCAGAUGAGCCUAGGUCGGAUUAGCUAGUUGGUGAGGUAAUGGCUCACCAAGGCGACGAUCCGUAACUGGUCUGAGAGGAUGAUCAGUCACACUGGAACUGAGACACGGUCCAGACUCCUACGGGAGGCAGCAGUGGGGAAUAUUGGACAAUGGGCGAAAGCCUGAUCCAGCCAUGCCGCGUGUGUGAAGAAGGUCUUCGGAUUGUAAAGCACUUUAAGUUGGGAGGAAGGGCAGUUACCUAAUACGUGAUUGUUUUGACGUUACCGACAGAAUAAGCACCGGCUAACUCUGUGCCAGCAGCCGCGGUAAUACAGAGGGUGCAAGCGUUAAUCGGAAUUACUGGGCGUAAAGCGCGCGUAGGUGGUUAGUUAAGUUGGAUGUGAAAUCCCCGGGCUCAACCUGGGAACUGCAUUCAAAACUGACUGACUAGAGUAUGGUAGAGGGUGGUGGAAUUUCCUGUGUAGCGGUGAAAUGCGUAGAUAUAGGAAGGAACACCAGUGGCGAAGGCGACCACCUGGACUGAUACUGACACUGAGGUGCGAAAGCGUGGGGGAGCAAACAGGAUUAGAUACCCUGGUAGUCCACGCCGUAAACGAUGUCAACUAGCCGUUUGGGAGCCUUGAGCUCUUAGUGGCGCAGCUAACGCAUUAAGUUGACCGCCUGGGGAGUCCGGCCGCAAGGUUAAAACUCAAAUGAUUGACGGGGGCCGCACAAGCGGUGGAGCAUGUGGUUUAAUUCGAAGCAACGCGUAGAACCUUACCAGGCUCUUGACAUUCCA